rnacentral:tRNA from 2 species
GUCUCCGUGGCGCAAUUGGCUAGCGCGUCUGACUGUUAUACCCUUGGUAUGAUAAGUCAUCAGGAGGUUCCUGGUUCGAGCCCAGGCGGGGACG